GAUGAACGCUGGCGGCGUGCUUAACACAUGCAAGUCGAACGAAGAUGCCGGAGUGCUUGCACUUUGGCAGACUGAGUGGCGGACGGGUGAGUAACGCGUGGGUAACCUGCCUUAUACAGGGGGAUAACAGUUGGAAACGACUGCUAAUACCGCAUAAGCGCACGGUAUCGCAUGAUACAGUGUGAAAAACUCCGGUGGUAUAAGAUGGACCCGCGUCUGAUUAGCUAGUUGGUGAGGUAACGGCCCACCAAGGCGACGAUCAGUAGCCGGCCUGAGAGGGUGAACGGCCACAUUGGGACUGAGACACGGGCCCAAACUCCUACGGGAGGCAGCAGUGGGGAAUAUUGGUCAAUGGACGAGAGUCUGAACCAGCCAAGUAGCGUGAAGGAUGAAGGUCCUACGGAUUGUAAACUUCUUUUAUAAGGGAAUAAAACCUCCACGUGUGGGAGCUUGUAUGUACCUUAUGAAUAAGCAUCGGCUAACUCCGUGCCAGCAGCCG
rnacentral:rRNA from 1 species